rnacentral:rRNA from 1 species
UGCAGUCGAGCGGUAACACAGAGGAGCUUGCUCCUUGGGUGACGAGCGGCGGACGGGUGAGUAAAGUCUGGGGAUCUGCCUGAUGGAGGGGGAUAACUACUGGAAACGGUAGCUAAUACCGCAUGACGUCUUCGGACCAAAGUGGGGGACCUUCGGGCCUCACGCCAUGAGAUGAACCCAGAUGGGAUUAGCUGGUAGGUGAGGUAACGGCUCACCUAGGCGACGAUCCCUAGCUGGUCUGAGAGGAUGACCAGCCACACUGGAACUGAGACACGGUCCAGACUCCUACGGGAGGCAGCAGUGGGGAAUAUUGCACAAUGGGGGAAACCCUGAUGCAGCCAUGCCGCGUGUGUGAAGAAGGCCUUCGGGUUGUAAAGCACUUUCAGCGGGGAGGAAGGCAAUAAACUUAAUAAGUUUGUUGAUUGACGUUACCCGCAGAAGAAGCACCGGCUAACUCCGUGCCAGCAGCCGCGGUAAUACGGAGGGUGCAAGCGUUAAUCGGAAUGACUGGGCGUAAAGCGCACGCAGGCGGUCUGUUAAGUUGGAUGUGAAAUCCCCGGGCUCAACCCGGGAACAGCAUUCAAAACUGACAGGCUAGAGUCUCGUAGAGGGGGGUAGAAUUCCAGGUGUAGCGGUGAAAUGCGUAGAGAUCUGGAGGAAUACCGGUGGCGAAGGCGGCCCCCUGGACGAAGACUGACGCUCAGGUGCGAAAGCGUGGGGAGCAAACAGGAUUAGAUACCCUGGUAGUCCACGCCGUAAACGAUGUCGACUUGGAGGCUGUGGUCUUGAACCGUGGCUUCCGGAGCUAACGCGUUAAGUCGACCGCCUGGGGAGUACGGCCGCAAGGUUAAAACUCAAAUGAAUUGACGGGGGCCCGCACAAGCGGUGGAGCAUGUGGUUUAAUUCGAUGCAACGCGAAGAACCUUACCUACUCUUGACAUCCAGAGAAGACUGUAGAGAUACGGUUGUGCCUUCGGGAGCUCUGAGACAGGUGCUGCAUGGCUGUCGUCAGCUCGUGUUGUGAAAUGUUGGGUUAAGUCCCGCAACGAGCGCAACCCUUAUCCUUUGUUGCCAGCGAUACGGUCGGGAACUCAAAGGAGACUGCCGGUGAUAAACCGGAGGAAGGUGGGGAUGACGUCAAGUCAUCAUGGCCCUUACGAGUAGGGCUACACACGUGCUACAAUGGCGCAUACAAAGAGAAGCGAGCCUGCGAGGGUGAGCGGACCUCAUAAAGUGCGUCGUAGUCCGGAUUGGAGUCUGCAACUCGACUCCAUGAAGUCGGAAUCGCUAGUAAUCGUAGAUCAGAAUGCUACGGUGAAUACGUUCCCGGGCCUUGUACACACCGCCCGUCACACCAUGGGAGUGGGUUGCAAAAGAAGUAGGUAGCUUAA